rnacentral:rRNA from 1 species
GACGAACCAUGCAAACGUUAUUCGGAUUCACUGGGCUUAAAGCGUGCGUAGGCGGUCUUGUUAGUCAGGUGUGAAAGCCCUCAGCCUAACUGAGGAAUUGCGCUUGAUACUGCAUGACUAGAGAAUGAUAGAGGUGGGUGGAACUGAUGGUGGAGCGGUGAAAUGCGUUGAUAUCAUCAGGAACACCAGUGGCGAAGGCGGGUCUCUGGGCCGAUACUGACGCUGAGGAGCGAAAGCGUGGGGAGCAAACAGG